AAUCAAAAUUUGAUUUGAGAAAUCACAUUUUGUUGAUUUCUCAAAAUUCUGAGAAAAAAAAGUCGGAAUUCUGAGCUUAAAGUUAGAAUUGAGAAAAAUAGUGAGAAUUCUAAGAAAAAAAACAUCAGAAUUCAGAACAGAAAAAAGUCAAAACUGACGUAAGCGCCGCCAAAAUUCUGAGCAAAAAAAGUGUCAGAAUUUGGAGCAAAGAAAAAAAAAUCGUCAGAAUUUGGAGCACCGAAUGUCAAAAUUCUGAACAAAAAACAUCUGGAUACUCCGGGAAAACAAAUAUUCUUGUCAGAAUUCAGAAAAAAGAACAAACAUCAACAAAAAGCAAAAACAAACUAAAAACAUCACCAGAAUUCUGAGAUAAAACAUCAGAAUCCAUUUUUCCCCCAGUGAUUCUCUUCUGUGACGUUCCCAGUCAGAACCAGUGAAGGUUUACCGUCUGCUGCCGGAUCAGACUGUUUGAACGCCCUCAGGGAUCCUGGCUCUGGUUCACACUCACUCUUUGUUUCCACAUUCUGAGAGCUGCCAGUAAGUAAAGUUUAAAAGAUUGUCUAAAGCACAUGACGCCUUCAACACAUUCCCGGGUUUUGGAGCGCCAACAGGAAGCGGGCCGGACUGUCCUGGUGUUUUUGUUAAGAGGCUGAAAGCGUUUAUGGCUGCUCUACAGCUUAUUGGUUCAUCUGUCCUGCUUUGUUUGAACAGAGUUAUGAAACCAAUUUGGUUCCUUUUAACACGAGGAACCUUUAGCUUGAACUCCACAUGGGGAAGGUAAUCAGUGAGCAAUAAACCUGCGUGUUCUUCAGCCAAUCAAAACGCAGCAGAUGUUUAAUGUACAGGAAAGUACCACAGGUAAGACGAAAUAAAAA